rnacentral:rRNA from 1 species
ACGGAGGGUGCAAGCGUUGUCCGGAUUUACUGGGUUUAGAGGGUCCGUAGGCGGAUUUUUAAGUCAGUGGUGAAAGCCUGCAGCUCAACUGCAGAACUGCCAUUGAUACUGAAAGUCUUGAGUAUAUUUGAGGUAGGCGGAAUUUAUGAUGUAGCGGUGAAAUGCAUAGAUAUCAUAAAGAACACCAAUUGCGAAGGCAGCUUACUAAACUAUUACUGACGCUCAGGGACGAAAGCGUGGGGAGCGAACAGG